rnacentral:rRNA from 1 species
CCUACGGGGGGCUGCAGUGGGGAAUAUUGGACAAUGGGGGGAACCCUGAUCCAACCAUGCCGCGUGUGUGAAGAAGGCCCUCGGGUUGUAAAGCACUUUCAGUGAGGAAGAACGCCUGGUGGUUAAUACCCAUCAGGAAAGACAUCACUCACAGAAGAAGCACCGGCUAACUCCGUGCCAGCAGCCGCGGUAAUACGGAGGGUGCGAGCGUUAAUCGGAAUUACUGGGCGUAAAGCGCGCGUAGGUGGCUUGAUAAGCCGGUUGUGAAAGCCCCGGGCUCAACCUGGGAACGGCAUCCGGAACUGUCAAGCUAGAGUGCAGGAGAGGAAGGUAGAAUUCCCGGUGUAGCGGUGAAAUGCGUAGAGAUCGGGAGGAAUACCAGUGGCGAAGGCGGCCUUCUGGACUGACACUGAUACUGAGGUGCGAAAGCGUGGGUAGCAAACAGGAUUAGAUACCCGAGUAGUC